GGAUGAGCCCGCGUAGGAUUAGGUAGUUGGUGGGGUAAAGGCCUACCAAGCCGACGAUCCUUAGCUGGUCUGAGAGGAUGAUCAGCCACACUGGGACUGAGACACGGCCCAGACUCCUACGGGAGGCAGCAGUGGGGAAUAUUGGACAAUGGGCGCAAGCCUGAUCCAGCAAUGCCGCGUGAGUGAUGAAGGCCUUCGGGUCGUAAAGCUCUUUUACCAGGGAUGAUAAUGACAGUACCUGGAGAAUAAGCUCCGGCUAACUCCGUGCCAGCAGCCGCGGUAAUACGGAGGGAGCUAGCGUUGUUCGGAAUUACUGGGCGUAAAGCGCACGUAGGCGGUUACUCAAGUCAGAGGUGAAAGCCCGGGGCUCAACCCCGGAACUGCCUUUGAAACUAGGUGACUGGAAUCUUGGAGAGGCGAGUGGAAUUCCGAGUGUAGAGGUGAAAUUCGUAGAUAUUCGGAAGAACACCAGUGGCGAAGG
rnacentral:rRNA from 1 species